UCCGGUUGAUCCUGCCGGACCCGACUGCUAUCAGAGUGAGAUUAAGCCAUGCGAGUUAACGUAGCAAUACGUGGCGCACGGCUCAGUAACACGUAGUCAACAUGCCCAGAGGACGUGGAUAACCUCGGGAAACUGAGUCUAAACCGCGAUAAGUGAGGAUUUCUGGAAUGGUUCCUGACUAAAAUCUAUAUGGCCUCUGGAUUGGACUGCGGCCGAUCAGGCUGUUGGUGAGGUAAUGGCCCACCAAACCUGUAACCGGUACGGGCUCUGAGAGGAGGAGCCCGGAGAUGGGCACUGAGACAAGGGCCCAGGCCCUAUGGGGCGCAGCAGGCGCGAAACCUCUGCAAUAGGCGAAAGCCUGACAGGGUUACUCUGAGUACUUUCGCUAAGAAAGUCUUUUGGCACCUCUAAAAAGGGUGCAGAAUAAGGGGUGGGCAAGUCUGGUGUCAGCCGCCGCGGUAAUACCAGCACCCCGAGUGGUCGGGACAAUUAUUGGGCCUAAAGCAUCCGUAGCCGGUUCUGCAAGUCCCCCGUUAAAUCCAGCUGCUCAACAGAUGGGCCGCGGAGGAUACUACAGAGCUAGGAGGCAGGAGAGGCAAGCGGUACUCAGUGGGUAGGGGUAAAAUCCGUUGAUCCAUUGAAGACCACCAGUGGCGAAGGCGGCUUGCCAGAAUGCGCUCGACGGUGAGGGAUGAAAGCUGGGGGAGCAAACCGGAUUAGAUACCCGGGUAGUCCCAGCCGUAAACGAUGCAGACUCGGUGAUGGGUUGGCUUCGCGCUAACCCAGUGCCGCAGGGAAGCCGUUAAGUCUGCCGCCUGGGUAGUACGGUCGCAAGACUGAAACUUAAAGGAAUUGGCGGGGGAGCACCACAAGGGGUGAAGCCCGCGGUUCAAUUGGAGUCAACGCCGGGAAUCUUACCGGGGGCGACAGCAGAAUGAAGGUCAAGCUGAAGACUUUACCAGACAAGCUGAGAGGAGGUGCAUGGCCGUCGCCAGCUCGUGCCGUGAGGUGUCCUGUUAAGUCAGGUAACGAGCGAGACCCCUGCUUCUAGUUGCUACUCCUGUUCUCCGGAAUAGGAGGGCUAAUUAGAAGGACUGCCGCCGCUAAGGCGGAGGAAGGAGGGGGCUACGGCAGGUCAGUAUGCCCCGAAACCCUCGGGCCACACGCGGGCUGCAAUGGUAAGUACAAUGGGUUCCAAUUCCGAAAGGAGGUGGCAAUCUCGCAAAACUUACCUCAGUUAUGAUUGAGGGCUGAAACUCGCCCUCAUGAAUAUGGAAUCCCUAGUAACCGCGUGUCAUCAUCGCGCGGUGAAUACGUCCCUGCUCCUUGCACACACCGCCCGUCGCUUCAUCGAAGUUGGUUUUAGGCGAGGUGGUGUCAUGUUGGCACUAUCGAACCUGAGGUCAGCAACGAGGGAG
rnacentral:rRNA from 1 species